UCCGUAGGGGGCUAGCGUUGUCCGGAUUUAUUGGGCGUAAAGAGCGUGUAGGCGGCCAGAUAGGUCUGCUGUGAAAACUCGAGGCUCAACCUCGAGCUGUCGGCGGAAACCAUUUGGCUAGAGUCCGGAAGAGGAAAGUGGAAUUCCUGGUGUAGCGGUGAAAUGCGCAGAUAUCAGGAAGAACACCCGUGCCGAAGGCGGCUUUCUGGGACGGUACUGACGCUGAGACGCGAAAGCGUGGGGAGCGAACAGG
rnacentral:rRNA from 1 species